GACGAACGCUGGCGGCGUGCUUAACACAUGCAAGUCGUACGGUAAGGCCCUUUCGGGGGUACACGAGUGGCGAACGGGUGAGUAACACGUGAGUAACCUGCCCACAACUUUGGGAUAACGCUAGGAAACUGGUGCUAAUACUGGAUAUGUGCUCCUGCUGCAUGGUGGGGGUUGGAAAGCUCCGGCGGUUGUGGAUGGACUCGCGGCCUAUCAGCUUGUUGGUGGGGUAGUGGCCUACCAAGGCGGCGACGGGUAGCCGGCCUGAGAGGGUGACCGGCCACAUUGGGACUGAGAUACGGCCCAGACUACUAAGGGAGGCAGCAGUGGGGAAUAUUGAACAAUGGGCGCAAGCCUGAUGCAGCAACGCCGCGUGCGGGAUGACGGCCUUCGGGUUGUAAACCGCUUUCAGCAGGGACGAAGCUUUUUGUGACGGUAACUGCAGAAGAAGCACCGGCUAACUACGU
rnacentral:rRNA from 1 species